ACGGGUGCGUAACGCGUAUGCAACUUGCCCUAUACAGGAGGAUAACCCGUCGAAAGACGGACUAAUACUGCGUAUGCUCACAACUUGGCAUCAAGUGGUGAGGAAAGAAAUUCGGUAUAGGAUAGGCAUGCGUCCCAUUAGCUUGUUGGUGAGGUAACGGCUCACCAAGGCAACGAUGGGUAGGGGAACUGAGAGGGUGAUCGGCCACACUGGGACUGAGACACGGCCCAG
rnacentral:rRNA from 1 species